rnacentral:rRNA from 1 species
GACGAACGCUGGCGGCGUGCCUAAUACAUGCAAGUCGAGCGCAGGAAGCUGACGGAACUCUUCGGAGGGAAGGCAGUGGAAUGAGCGGCGGACGGGUGAGUAACACGUAAGGAACCUGCCUCAAGGAUUGGGAUAACUCCGAGAAAUCGGAGCUAAUACCGGAUAGUUCAACGGACCGCAUGGUCCGCUGAUGAAAGGCGCUUCGGCGUCACCUUGAGAUGGCCUUGCGGUGCAUUAGCUAGUUGGUGGGGUAACGGCCCACCAAGGCGACGAUGCGUAGCCGACCUGAGGGGGUGGACGGCCACAAUGGGACUGAGACACGGCCCAGACUCCUACGGGAGGCAGCAGUAGGGAAUCUUCCACAAUGGACGAAAGUCUGAUGGAGCAACGCCGCGUGAGUGAUGAAGGUUUUCGGAUUGUAAAACUCUGUUGUAAGGGAAGAACACGUACGAGGGGAAAUGCUCGUACCUUGACGGUACCUUACGAGAAAGCCACGGCUAACUACGUGCCAGCCGCCGCGGUAA